AGCGAACGCUGGCGGCAGGCUUAACACAUGCAAGUCGAGCGGGCACUUCGGUGUCAGCGGCAGACGGGUGGGUAACACGUGGGAACGUACCCUUUGGUUCGGAAUAACGCUGGGAAACUAGCGCUAAUACCGGAUACGCCCUUUUGGGGAAAGGCUUGCUGCCGAAGGAUCGGCCCGCGUCUGGUUAGCUAGUUGGUGGGGUAAUGGCCGAGCAAGGCGACGAUCAGUAGCUGGUCUGAGAGGAGGAUCAGCCACACUGGGACUGAGACACGGCCCAGACUCCUACGGGAGGCUGCAGUGGGGAAUGUUGGACAGUGGGCGCAAGCCUGAUCCAGCCAUGCCGCGUGAGUGAUGCAGGCCUUAGGGUUGUAAAGCUCUUUUGUCCGGGACGAUAAUGACGGUACCGGAAGAAUAAGCCCCGGCUAACUUCGUG
rnacentral:rRNA from 1 species